ACUUGUUGUAAAUCCCUUACAGGUGAGUGACUAACUUAGCAGAUAAUUCUGCUGAAUUGUUUGGCCCACUGAUGAGAUUCGUUUCGGGAUCAAGUUGAGCCUUUUGGGCUCCCCAGUCAGCCCCACAAUGUAUAUUUCACACAUGCAAAUGUGCUCAUAUGGAAGUCUUCGCGAAACAGCAGCCAGUUUUAUUUGAGAUGCCUUACAAUUUGAAAAUAAAUGAUGCCAAAUUUAACCAGAUGGUCCAUUCUUGGAGACUCUGGGACACAUCAAGGCCAUUUGUAGCUGGAGUGGUUUUGGGUUCCUAAACUCUGCCUUCAAGAGAUGUAUUUCCUAAUUAUUCCAUCUAUUCUUUUACUUCUGCAAUCCCCAUCUGGCUGGCUUUCAUCACGUGCAUCCAAUCAGAAUCCCAAUGACAUUCUUCACAGAAAUAGAAAAAAGAAUCCAAAAAUUGAUAUGGAACAAUAAAAGACCCUGAAUAGCCAAAGCAAUCCCAAGAAAAAAGAGCAAAGCUGGAGGCAUCACAAUCCCUUACUUCAAAACAUACUACAAAGCUAUAGUAAUCAAAACAGCAUGGUACUGGCACAAAAACACACAAGUUAAUGGAGGGUCAUGUUUCUAUUUGCUGUGGGACAGUGUUAGUCAUCG
rnacentral:lncRNA from 1 species